rnacentral:rRNA from 1 species
CCUUUAUCUAGCUCAGAAAAGCUAUCUCUCACAAAAGGGCAGCUCUUGAAUCAAGAGGAUAGUACAAAGUACAGGAGUUUGGUAGGUGCAUUACAGUACUUGACUUUAACAAGGCCUGAUAUCUCGUUUGCUGUCAACAAGGUAUGUCAGUUUCUGCAUGCUCCCACCACUGUUCAUUGGACUGCUGCAAAAUGCAUUGUCAGAUAUGUCAAACACACUUUGAGCAUUGGUCUCAACUUCAGCAAGUCAUCCUCAACUCUGGUUAGUGCUUUCUCUGACUCUGAUUGGGCAGGCUGUCUGGAUGACAGACGCUCUACUGGUGGAUUUGCCAUAUUCUUUGGACCAAACUUGAUUUCAUGGUGUGCAAGAAAACAUGCCACAGUGUCUAGGUCUAGCACAGAGGUAGAGUACAAGGCAUUAGCAAAUGCUACAGCUGAGAUCAUAUGGGUUCAAUCAAUGCUAAAGGAACUUGGUAUUCGAAGUUCUCAACCCCAUGUCUGUGGUGUGAUAAUCUUGGUGCCACCUACUUAUCUGCAA